AGAAACUGAGCAGAUCUCACCCUCUGGUGUACACUCACGAAUGCUGAGAUCCCAGGCAAGGAUGACCUUCUCUAAAAGGGACACAUGAAUACCAAGAUAUGGGAGGCUUGAGCAAAUACUAUGAAUCUCUCAAGGAGCUAUGGAUUACCUUAAAAGGCUAGACAACAGAGCCACGGCACAGGAAGUCUGCCCUGGAUGCUAUCCUGCUGGGAAUUGGCCCUCUGAAACAGAUCCAUCCACCCGAUGAGUCAUGACAUUAAAAAUGAUGAAGGAAAUGGACUGGUCCCCAGACAAACAGCUCGGGGCAAUACGAUUCCUGCAUCCAAAGGACUAUGGGUUACAGACACCUCUCUCUUCUGGGAUACAACGUGUAAAAGCCGGAUUGAGAUCUCUAUGCCUGUUCUUCAACUGCUGUGGCUACCACUAUUCCAAGAGACAGAAUAAGAAAGUUAAAGACAACAAGAAAUGGGUCUGUAAGGCCCGAAGUGAGUGGUGUGGCAAACGACUGGACUCACUCACAUGAAUAUAAGGCUAAUCCAUUCAGGAACAGACUAAGUCUCGUCCUGACCUACUUGUCGUUUUUCUGUAAAGACCACUCGAGGUUUUAUCAACUUGAUCAACAGGUAUGUUCAUAGUAAACCCGAGUAACCAUUUUUGUACAGUGAAUAAAGUAUUUUUAAUAAUCCAGAUUUUAUUUAAA
rnacentral:lncRNA from 1 species